AUGCUACCUGGUUGAUCCUGC
rnacentral:rRNA from 6 species